GCCUUAGCAGCUCAGAUGGCAGAGCAAGAGACUCUUAAUCUUAGGGUUGUGGGUUCCAGCCCCAUGUUGGGCA